rnacentral:rRNA from 1 species
UGGGGAAUAUUGCACAAUGGGGGAAACCCUGAUGCAGCGACGCCGCGUGAACGAAGAAGUAUUUCGGUAUGUAAAGUUCUAUCAGCAGGGAAGAUAAUGACGGUACCUGACUAAGAAGCACCGGCUAAAUACGUGCCAGCAGCCGCGGUAAUACGUAUGGUGCAAGCGUUAUCCGGAUUUACUGGGUGUAAAGGGAGCGCAGGCGGUGCGGCAAGUCUGAUGUGAAAGCCCGGGGCUCAACCCCGGGACUGCUUUUGAAACUGUGGAGCUAGAGUGCAGGAGGGGCAAGUGGAAUUCCUAGUGUAGCGGUGAAAUGCGUAGAUAUUAGGAGGAACACCAGUGGCGAAGGCGGCUUACUGGACGAUAACUGACGCUGAGGCUCGAAAGCGUGGGGAGCAAACAGGAUUAGAUACCCUGGUAGU